rnacentral:rRNA from 1 species
AACGAACGCUGGCGGCAGGCCUAACACAUGCAAGUCGAACGCUCCGCAAGGGGAGUGGCAGACGGGUGAGUAACACGUGGGAAUCUUCCUAUCGGUACGGAAUAGCUCAGGGAAACUUGGGGUAAUACCGCAUACGCCCUUCGGGGGAAAGAUUUAUCGCCGAUAGAUGAGCCCGCGUCUGAUUAGCUAGUUGGUGAGGUAAUGGCUCACCAAGGCGACGAUCAGUAGCUGGUUUGAGAGAAUGACCAGCCACACUGGGACUGAGACACGGCCCAGACUCCUACGGGAGGCAGCAGUGGGGAAUCUUGGACAAUGGGCGCAAGCCUGAUCCAGCCAUGCCGCGUGAGUGACGAAGGUCUUCGGAUUGUAAAGCUCUUUUGCCAGGGACGAUAAUGACGGUACCUGGAGAAUAAGCCCCGGCUAACUCCGUGCCAGCAGCCGCCGUAA